GACGAACGCUGGCGGCGUGCCUAAUACAUGCAAGUAGAACGCACAGUUUAUACCGUAGCUUGCUCCACCAUAAACUGUGAGUUGCGAACGGGUGAGUAACGCGUAGGUAACCUGCCUGGUAGCGGGGGAUAACUAUUGGAAACGAUAGCUAAUACCGCAUAAUAUUGAUUAUUGCAUGAUAAUUGAUUGAAAGAUGCUAUUGCAUCACUACCAGAUGGACCUGCGUUGUAUUAGCUAGUAGGUGAGGUAACGGCUCACCUAGGCGACGAUACAUAGCCGACCUGAGAGGGUGAUCGGCCACACUGGGACUGAGACACGGCCCAGACUCCUACGGGAGGCAGCAGUAGGGAAUCUUCGGCAAUGGACGAAAGUCUGACCGAGCAACGCCGCGUGAGGGAAGAAGGGUGUCGGAUCGGAAAGCUCGGUUGUAAGAGAAGAACGGGUGUGAGAGUGGAAAGUUCACACUGUGACGGUACCUUACCAGAAAGGGACGGCUAACUACGUG
rnacentral:rRNA from 1 species